CGCCUCUCAGGGUCGCAACUGGAGAGUUCCCAGUACUCUACCAGUCAUGACUACAGGCGGGAGAGUCAAGCAGAGGCAUACCCACUCCAUUCCUAGCUUGUCCAGUGGCUAGUGAGUGGAAGGCAAUCAGCUACAAGU